rnacentral:rRNA from 1 species
GACGAACGCUGGCGGCGUGCUUAACACAUGCAAGUCGAACGGAAAGGCCCUGCUUGCAGGGUACUCGAGUGGCGAACGGGUGAGUAACACGUGGGUGAUCUGCCCUGCACUUCGGGAUAGGCUGGGGAAACUGGGUCUAUUACGGGAUGGGGGCCUUUUUAGUGUGGUGGGUGGGAAGGUUUUUCGGGGUAGGAUGAGCUCGCGGCCUAUCAGCUUGUUGGGGGGGUAAUGGGCUACCAAGGCGGCGACGGGUAGCCGGCCUGAGAGGGUGGACGGCCACAUUGGGACUGAGAUACGGCCCAGACUCCUACGGGAGGCAGCAGUGGGGAAUAUUGCACAAUGGGCGCAAGCCUGAUGCAGCGACGCCGCGUGGGGGAUGACGGCCUUCGGGUUGUAAACUCCUUUCGCUAGGGACGAAGCUUUUUGUGACGGUACCUAGAUAAGAAGCACCGGCUAACUACGUG